rnacentral:rRNA from 1 species
AACCUCCGCAAUGUGAGAAAUCGCGACGGGGGGAUCCCAAGUGCCAUUCUUAACGGGAUGGCUUUUCAUUAGUGUAAAGAGCUUUUGGAAUAAGGGCUGGGCAAGACCGGUGCCAGCCGCCGCGGUAACACCGGCAGCUCUAGUGGUAGCAGUUUUUAUUGGGCCUAAAGCGUCCGUAGCCGGUUUAAUAAGUCUCUGGUGAAAUCCUGUAGCUUAACUGUGGGAAUUGCUGGAGAUACUAUUAGACUUGAGGUCGGGAGAGGUUAGCGGUACUCCCAGGGUAGGGGUGAAAUCCUGUAAUCCUGGGAGGACCACCUGUGGCGAAGGCGGCUAACUGGAACGAACCUGACGGUGAGGGACGAAAGCCAGGGGCGCGAACCGGAUUAGAUACCCGGGUAGUCCUGGCCGUAAACGAUGUGGACUUGGUGUUGGGGUGGCUUUGAGCUGCUCCAGUGCCGAAGGGAAGCUGUUAAGUCCGCCGCCUGGGAAGUACGGUCGCAAGACUGAAACUUAAAGGAAUU